rnacentral:lncRNA from 1 species
CUCAGCCAAAAUGUUCAUAUCUGUGUGCCUCAUCAGACCAGAAAUCACUGAGGGACAGAGACCUGUGCCUGUCUAUCCCACUAGCUUUGGGAGGACACCCUGUGGUUAUCUACCCACUGCCCCACUGGCUGCUGGGAGGGGGCCCACCACACAUCCAACCUCCUCAUCCUCAGGCAGUGGGGGCAGUGGUGAGCUGGGUGAGCGUUCUCGCUCGCGCACUGAGGGGCUGUUGCGCAUCCAGGCACGGCAGAUUGGGUACAAUGGUGUGUUCUCACUGAACUGAGCCAAGUCCACACUCCGGUCAAACAGCUUGAUCACAUAUGUGUCUAGGGUGAUGGGAGGGGAAGGUGUGUGAACAUCCUCCCAUAGCUCCCCAUCAUGGCCUGCCCUCUAGAGUCACCGCCUACUCACUGGAUCGCUGCGGCCCUCCCUCAGCCAGCCCGUCAUCCAUCUCCCUCCUCUUCUUCCUCCGCUGGUGGGGGAAGCGGGCGGAUGGUCUGUGUGGGGCAGGAGAACAUCAGGACCAGGGCAGGGGCUGGAGACUUCUUGUCAGUUGGCUGGGGCCCCUGCCACCUUACCGUUUGCCGGUAGAUGCAAUGGAACAAUCCCUGUGGGGAGAGACAAGAUGUCAGCAGGUGAUUCUAAAACAAAUGCCUGCUUAAAACCCCAAAAGGUACCCUGGGGAGACUGAGAUGUUCACAGGGACCCCACCGAACUCUUAGACCCUGCGUCCCACCCACGCCUCCAGGGCUGGAAGUGCCAACCAUAAGGAAACCUAAGCUUCUGCUGCCACAGGGUCUCUGUACAUGCAGGGUGGUCAGGACUGCGGUGGAGGAAGUGUGGGGCAGAGUGGUCAGAGCCUGGAUGAAGAAGGAAGUUAUCCAGCACAAGCCCUCAGAUACAGAUCCCAUUAACAAAACUUACUUGUUGUGGGUGUCCGAGGGGGUUUUCCCAGCUUCCUCCUCCAGGCGCUCCCUGCUAGUGGAAGAGAACUGUGGGCUCAGGGUUCCCAGGGGCAAGUGGGUACGCACCAAGUAGCUUUUCCAUUGGGCCCCUUCCUCCCUAAGCCAGCCUCUGGGGUCCUACCCAGAUCCACCCAGGACGACCCAUAACCCCUGCUGGGCUAGGUCCCAACCUGUCCAUGUGACUCUUCUCCAGCAGACACUGCAGGACAGCAUCAAGUUGGUUCCGGGCCUUGGCCAUCUCCAACUCUGGGGAAGAAGAUACCAACCAGGAGUCGGUUCUAAGGCCCACCGCAGGUGGGCAGCCAACUAGGCUGAAGAAGGACAUUCACAUCCAAGCCUACGGCCGGGCCCAGGCACAUUGGGCGGUGCAGUGGGCAAAGACAACUGACGUGAUGAGCAAGAGCUCCGGGUUCCAGGGUUGUCCCACAUGCUCAUGUGUGACCAAAGGCAAGUCACCUUACCUCACUGAGCCUGUUUCCUCAACUUGAAAAUAGGUCUCCCAAUGAUACCUAUCUGCAAGGACCGUUUGAGGUUUAAAUAAACCUAUGUUGGGGCACCUGGGUGGCUCAGUUGGUUAAGUGUCCAACUUGGGCUCAGCUCAUGAUCUCCCUGUUCCUGAGUUCAAGCCCCGUGUCAGGCUCAGUGCUCACAGCUCAGAGCCUGGAGACUGCUUCAGAUCCUGUGUCUCCCUCUCUUUCUCUGCCCCUCCCCCACUUGUGCUCUGUCUCUCAAAAAUAAAUAAAAUGUUAAAUUUUUUUUAAACAAACCUAUGUUAUAUAUGAAUCUCUUAGCAAGAUGCAAUUACAAUAAGAUGUACAGAGUACUUAUUAUGUGCCAAGAAUUGUUCCAAGCACAUUACACGUAUUAACCCAUUAAAUUCUCACAAUAACUCUGGCAGGUAGAUAGGAUUGUCCCCAUCUUAUGGAUGAUGAAACUGAGGCACAGAGAAGUUAGACUAGGAAAUUGCAGGACUGAGGAUUUGCACUCAGGCACUCCACAGCUGAAGUUAUAAGGCAGAGACUCAAACUGGGUGCAGAAUCUAGCUCCCAGAUGUGGUCUGUUUGGCUGAGGCAGUAGUGUUAUUUUAAAUCUGAACUGAAUCUAAAUGGACAACAUGUAAUAAUUGAGAGACUGCACCUAAAAUAUCCAUUUUUGGCUCCCCUCCUGCCCCGCUCGAAAUGAGAUAUGGGCCCACCUUCCUGCAUUCCUGGCUCUGUUGGCCUGUGUGUUUGCCUCCCCUCAUCAUAGAACUUAAAGAGGUGAUGAUGUUAUAAAUAUUCUCCUCUCGCCCUUGUGGGCUGUUUGCUCUCGUUCCAGCCAGUACCUAGCAUCACUCUGGUCCAGGGCUCAAAGCCUGGAAGGGCACUUGGGGACAUGCUUUGCCAGCCCUGGGAUGAAAGAGGCAGGGAUUCCCAACAGCACGGAGGAGAGGCAGGGUGGGGGUGAAGGCUGCAGGCAGCUGAGAUUCUAACAGAGAGCCCUGGACAAGAGCCCAGGUAUAAAUCAUACAUAGCCACAUCUCUUUCCCUAGGCCCUGCUUCUCUCCUGAACCUCAGACCUUGGGAUCCCAUGGCCUCCUGGAUACCUCCCCCUGGACAUCCCCUAGGCCCCUACCAUCUACUGGGUCCACACUGGCCUAGUGUCUCUCUAAACUUUACCACUUUUCCUGGGCCCCCAUCUCUGGGGUAGCCCCACUCCCCCAGUCCUUCACUGGGCCUCAUAAUAGACAUCUCUCAUCCUCCUCCACCCCAGCUCACCAACCCCAUGGCCUGUCCACUUGACCUCCUGAGUAUCUCUCUGCUCUCUCCCUAACCUGGUUCUCUCCCUUCCCCCAGGCUCCCAGGCUCAAUCUCCUCCUCUGACCUACCCUGCACAAUGUGCCCAGGAGACUCUUUGGAAAACCAAACCCACCCUGAUCCUCCCCUGCAUAGAAUAGUCCAUCAGUCAGUAGUUCCCCAGGACUGAGUCUGAACUCUUUGGCCUGGUGUUCACAGGCCUCCAAUGACCCUGCCUGCCCCCCGCCCCCACCAUCAUCUGUAGUCAGGCCAUUAUAUUUUACUCUUCCACUCAUGAUUUUUAUUUAUUUAUUUAUUUUGGAAUUGGGGGGGAUCUUUAUUAACUCACUCCUCAGUUCAAAACCCUCCUUUGGCUUCCCAUUUCCCUCAGAACAAAAGCCAAAGUCCUAAUUUGGAUCCACAAGAACUGUCCUCCUCCCUCUCCCUGUUUGCCAUCAUCUCACACUCUCCACCUGACUCUCUCUGCUCCAGACACACUGGCCUCUCUGCUGGGCCUUGAACGUGGCAGAUGAGUCUUCCACCUCAGGACCUUUUCAGAGCUAUUUCCUACAUCUGAUUUGCUGUUCCCUCAUCUGUCCUCACUCCUUCUUUUUUUUUAAUUAUUUAUUUUUGAGAGAGAGAAAGAGAAAGAGAAUGAAUGAAUCCUAAGCAGGAUCCAGGCUCUGGGCUGUCAGUACAGAGCUGGACGUGGGGCAGGAACUCAUGAACCCUGAGAUCAUGACCUGAGCUGAAGUCACAGGGCUCAACGGACUGAGCCACUCAGGUGCCCCACCUUGCCUCACUCCUGAUCUUACCUUCUCCUGUUUCGUUUUAUUAGAACUUAUACCAUCUAACACCCUACACAUCAUUUUCCUUUUUUGGGGGUCUGGAUUCCAUGCCUCUCCCACCACCCUCAUUAACAUGCCAGUCCUGGGUUCCCAUCAGCUCGGACCCAACCCAAAAUGACUUCCUCUCUCUCAGCUUCGGUUUCCCAAUCUACCACAUUUCCUACUUCCUAGGAUUACUGGGAUACAGGGACUGGGAGGAUUAAAUGCUUCUCUGUACUUCAAGUGCUGAGCACAAUGCUUGACUCAUGACCACUGCUGGAAAUGGGGAAACCGAGGCAGAGGCAAGAAGUGUCCUUUUCAUUGUCACACGUCUCAGGAUCCCCGGGUCUUACUGUACCACACGGUCUGAGCCACCACCAUUCAAUCUCAACGCUACCUUCAACACAGACCGGGAGGGUAUGAAGAUGGCAAGAAUCGUUCAAUGCCUGAUAUAGCGAUGGUCAGGUGGGCGGCAGGAAGAAGUCGCGUGGUCCGUCUGAUCGCGAUAAUCUUAUCUAUCGGGACUCCCAUACCCUGAUGGGUCCGGUGCUCCCCUACAGGCCCCCUACCUCGGGGUCCUCACCUGAUUUCUCCACUUUCACCUUCACCGGAAACAUGGCUUGGGUCUGAGGUGUGGCUAGCUGGGUCAGAGGAGGCCAAAGAGCCCAGGGUCAUAAAUGGAGGCCGAAGACUGACGGGAAGAGGUCAAAGAUAAGCUUUGUGUGCGACCAGUCCCCCGCGCUGAGCAGUGUCCGGCGGCGACCGCCACUACAGCCGCCACCUCCUCUGUUUCCCUUCUGUGGGCGGGUCCCUUUGGCAAUUGCUUGUUCCCAUUUGGCAGUGCCACCGUCGAUCUCGUCCCUGACCAAUUGACACCGCUGCCAUCUGCUCCCAGCUGUAAGUCCCACCUUUCUGAGGCCCCGUUUCCGGAAACAAAGCAACGGCAUCCCGCGGUGCUUCCUGGGAGGUGUAGUUCUACUUCCGAGACACAGGCAGGGUAACAACGCCUGCGCCGCGCGAGGCACGGUGGGAGACGUAGGAUCCGGGCUGCGUGAGGUUUCUUGGAACUUGUAGUGUUAGGAGCCUUGAGGAAAACCAAUUUAGCUAUUACCAAGAUUUAUUUAACCGUAGGAGUCCUUCUUGUCCCCGAGAAGAAGACAAGUCUGGAGUUAGGCCGGGUUCAACCUUACUGAGCACUCGCCAGGUGCCAGCUACCUGUUAAUCUCUCCUCAGAAGCAACCAUUUACUUAGCAAAUAUUUAUUAGCGUGCCAGGCACUCUUCUAGGCACGGGGGACACUGCACAGAACAAAACCGACAAAAAUUCCUGCCGUAAUAGAGCUUAUAUUUCAGAGGAUGUAAGAUUACAAGAAAGAAGUAAAACAGUUUAAAAGAAAUGUAAUAAAAGAAAGAAUGCAACCUCAAGGCACUUAGGGAGUACCAACGUUAAGGAUUGAAAUUUUAAGUAGGAUGGUCAAGGAAGCUUUCUCUGAUAAAGCUCUUGGCUAUGUCUAUUGCUGCAGACAACAUCUCCUUCAGAAAAUGGGAAACUUCCACUUACCACAGAUGCUUUGGGUCUGAUAAAUUCUAAGAGGUAGUAUUGAUAUCCACAUUUCU